rnacentral:rRNA from 1 species
AGCGAACGCUGGCGGCAGGCCUAACACAUGCAAGUCGAACGAACUCUUCGGAGUUAGUGGCGGACGGAUGAGUAACACGUGGGAACGUGCCCUUUGGUACGGAAUAACUCAGGGAAACUUGAGCUAAUACCGUAUGUGCCCUUCGGGGGAAAGAUUUAUCGCCAUUGGAGCGGCCUGCGUCUGAUUAGCUAGUUGGUGAGGUAACGGCUCACCAAGGCGACGAUCAGUAGCUGGUCUGAGAGGAUGACCAGCCACAUUGGGACUGAGACACGGCCCAAACUCCUACGGGAGGCAGCAGUGGGGAAUCUUGCGCAAUGGGCGAAAGCCUGACGCAGCCAUGCCGCGUGGAUGAUGAAGGUCUUAGGAUUGUAAAAUCCUUUCACCGGUGAAGAUAAUGACUGUAGCCGGAGAAGAAGCCCCGGCUAACUUCGUGCCAGCCGCCGCCGUAACAC